rnacentral:rRNA from 1 species
UACGGGGGGGGCAAGCGUUGUUCGGAAUUACUGGGCGUAAAGGGCUCGUAGGCGGCCAACUAAGUCGAACGUGAAAUCCCUCGGCUUAACCGGGGAACUGCGUCCGAUACUGGAUGGCUAGAGUUCGGGAGAGGGAUGCGGAAUUCCAGGUGUAGCGGUGAAAUGCGUAGAUAUCUGGAGGAACACCGGUGGCGAAGGCGGCAUCCUGGACCGACACUGACGCUGAGGAGCGAAAGCCAGGGGAGCAAACGGG